AGCGAACGUUAGCGGCGCGCCUAACACAUGCAAGUCGCACGAGAGGGGGCAACCCUGAAAGUGGCGCACGGGUGCGUAACACGUAGAUAAUCUGCCCUUCGAAGGGGGAUAACGUUCCGAAAGGAGCGCUAAUACCGCAUAACGCCGCGUCCAGUUUGCUGGAUGCGGACAAAGGCUGGGACCGUAAGGCCAGUCGUCGGAGGAGGAGUCUGCGUACCAUUAGCUAGUUGGUAGGGUAAAGGCCUACCAAGGCGACGAUGGUUAGCUGGUCUGAGAGGAUGAUCAGCCACACUGGAACUGAGACACGGUCCAGACUCCUACGGGAGGCAGCAGUGGGGAAUUUUGCGCAAUGGGGGAAACCCUGACGCAGCAACGCCGCGUGAGUGAUGAAGGCCCUUGGGUCGUAAAGCUCUGACAGAGGGAAAGAAAUGUGGGUGGCUAAUAUCCAUUCCACUUGACGGUACCCUCAAAGGAAGCACCGGCUAACUCCGUGCCAGCCGCCGCCGUAAGAC
rnacentral:rRNA from 1 species